UGUAAUGUUCUCUUGGAACUUCUUUCCAUGGU
rnacentral:piRNA from 1 species